ACCAUAGUACGAUGCAUCGUUAAUGCUAACUUCCGUCGUUGUUCGAGAAACGCACCCCAGGAGCUUUACCUAUUUUUAGUUUGUUUAAUGCUUGAUUUAAGUCAUCCAGUGAUAUAUCAGAAUCACAAAUUUCUUUGAAUACAGAAUCGAUUACUGGAAUAUGAGGUUCAAUCUGAUCAAAAAAACAUGAUGAAUCAGUAAUUAGAUAUUCCGAGGAGUAUAAAAUUGAGUAGAAUUUAUGUAAUUCUUCCGCUAUAGUCUUGUGAUUUGUACAUUCCUCCCCAUUUACAAUUAAUGUAUUAAUAGAUUUUUUUUCCUGCCUCCGUUUCUCCAAAUAGUAGAAAUAUGAAGUACUUUUUUCACCUUCUAUCCAUCUUGCACGAGCUCUAAUGUAUGCUCCAUGAGCCUUUUUUUUGUAUAAAUCAUCUAAUUGAGCCUGUAAAGACAAUAGGGAUUCCUUAUCAUGCUCUGACAUAACUUGUCUAUUACAGUAAAUAUUUAUACUGUAAAGUAAUUUAUUUUCAAAUUCCUUCUGUUGUCUUAUUCUCCUGUUACUAAAUGUAAUUGAAAAUGAUCUAACUUUAAAUUAAAAAAAUUCCCAUCUAUGUAAGUAGUUGCCAAUUGUCACAUCAUUGUAAAUUUUAUGAAGGAGCUUUUUAACUAGCUCGACAAACCCAUCAUCACUUAACAGAUCUGCAUUAAAUUUCCAAUAAUCUCUUUUAAAUUGCGUUUUAUUUUCAGGGUUAAGUUAAAGAAUAAUAAUACUGUGAUCUGUCAAUGGGGCUGCUGAGAUAGAAACGUGUGAAACAUAUCUAUAUAGUAAAGUCGAGCCCAACCACAGAUCCAGUCUGGACAUAUUAUUACCAUUUGGUUUAAUCCAAGAGAAUUGGGUAACUCCAGGGUUUUUCUCUCUCCAUAUAUCACUUAAAUUGUUUGAGUCAAUGAACUCUGUCAGAGUUGGAUUCCACUGAUUGGUACUGUAUCUGGGGGGAUUUCUAUCCUGCCAUUCAUUUGGAACAAGAUUAAAGUCGCCGCCUAGUAAUACAUGGUCUGUAUGGUAUAAAUGUUUAUACUGGGAAAGGACAUCUGUUAUUUUGUCCAGCAUGAGCUUAUUUAGAGUUAAAGAGGAAUACCCAUAUACAUUUACUAGAAUCACAAAUGAAUUAUCAAUAUUUAAUACAACUGCCAGCCAGUGUCCUGAAUAAUGAGUCUGAAAAGUUACGACCUUUCCUGGACAUCGAUUCCUUAGAGCUUUACAAUUUAAAAAAAUAUUUGCUUGUAAUUUUAAUUUUUUUUUAAAUUGUGUGUUCAAUCGCAUUGAGACGUGAUACCAUGAAUGCACUAAUCAAAUAUAGCAUGAUAUUUAACAUGUUUCAAUUUUAAAAGAGUAUUGUACUAUGCUCUCAUUGUGAACAAGUGCCGAUUCCUUGUGUCAAAGUUACACACUAACCAUAAUUUGACACGGUAUAUUUUUUUUAUUCUUUUUUGAUUCUUCAGUAGUAUAUUUUGACAAGGUAGUAAACAUCGUCAGAAGUGGCUGUAUUCCAGGCACUUAAUUCUUUGCAUAAUUAUUACAAAAACAUUAUUAGUAAUAAAAGUUUAUUUAAUAGCCUCUAUAGUAAUUAUAGUGCUACAAUGGUAAUAUUGCUUUUGUAUACACUGGCUGACUAUUGGAAAAAAAUCUUUCAGAUGCACCGAUCUAUCUGUGAGGCUGGUUCCUAUCCAGCUCUAGAAGAAUGCCAUGUUUGUUGUAAGAGACUUUUUCACUGCCCGCUGUGUCCUACCUUUAAACCCAGCAAAAAGACAGUGAUUGAGACCCAUAUGAAUCUUCAUGUAAAAAGGGCAUUGCAUUUUAAAGACAUAGCUUCAGAUUUGCCUUUUGGACUGUUGAGGCAACUGACCUUCUUCAGGACAAGUUGCAGCCUGUGUACAGGGUAUCCAGGCAUAUUAAUGGGCAAGAAUAAAUCAAAGUAUCUGAAAAAGUUUCUGAAACCAUCUUCUUACAUCGUUCCUGUGUAUUUCGAGGAUGAUGAACAGCAAAACCAUAUACCUUUCAUAUACCUUAAAGAUUCCUUGACAGGACCCCUACUGUUUUGCUGAUCUAGGAUAAAAUCAAGUUCAUUCUUGAUGUAUUGAUGCCAGAGGUAAGUGUUGAAUUAAUUUUGAAUGCACUUGAUUAAGUUGCUGAGCUUAUUAUUUGGUAGAUAAAUCAUGAGUUUUAUUCCAGUGCACCAUCUAUGGCCUUUCUGUACUUCAUAAUACUGAUUUUAUGAAGGCAGAGGAUCCGUUAGAUCAAAGCUAUGUACUCGUAUUUAAUCGAGUUUUAUUUUUAAUUAUUCUGUAAAAGUUAAGCAAUUUUUCUUCUUUUCAGUGAGAAAGAUGUCUUCAACGAAUCAGUUGAGAAGUACAGUCGAGCACGGUUAUUACGAUUCGGCUUAUAACGAAAACACGCUUGUAACGCUUCGAUUCCAAAUCCCCGACCUUCAGUAACGUUAAAUUCCUUUUUAUUUAUCCUUUAUUUUACCAGGAAUGUCCCAUUGAGAUACAUUAUCUCUUCUUCCGGGGAGUCCUGGCCAAGGUGGCAGCAAUAAGUUACAAAAGUUCCAACAUAAACAAACAACUUACACACUUGUAAUAUUUACACCUAAAGUCAUACAAACAUACCAAUGAAUACAAUACAAUAAGCAUGUUUUCCUUAAAGAAAACACGCAUAUAGCGAUUCUUUUAUAGCGAAAAUUCGGCUAUAACGAUGUCUACUGUCUUCCCCAAAGAAAUAUUUCAAUGAAUUUUUAUUCGGUUAUAACGAUUUGCCUCAACCAUUCCAGAUUUAAUAGUUUAAAAUAAGUCCUACGUCAGCUUAAUCGCGUAGCCAAAGCGAGCAGCAGUCAGUACAGUAUGUACCUUUUUUCUGUGCGUAGCGUUCUACCACCAUGUAAUAUGUUAUCGAUUUCGUGGUCCAUACUAAAUGGUUGUUGAAUUACAAAAUACACGUUGUUAGUAAAAAAAGAUGUUUUAUUUUGAUCAUUACAUGAAACAAAUUUAGCU